rnacentral:rRNA from 1 species
UACGUAGGGUGCAAGCGUUAAUCGGAAUUACUGGGCGUAAAGCGUGCGCAGGCGGUUUUGUAAGUCUGACGUGAAAUCCCCGGGCUCAACCUGGGAAUUGCGUUGGAGACUGCAAGGCUAGAAUCUGGCAGAGGGGGGUAGAAUUCCACGUGUAGCAGUGAAAUGCGUAGAGAUGUGGAGGAACACCGAUGGCGAAGGCAGCCCCCUGGGUCAAGAUUGACGCUCGUGCACGAAAGCGUGGGGAGCAAACAGG